rnacentral:rRNA from 1 species
GACGAACCGAGCAAACGUUAUUCGGAAUCACUGGGCUUAAAGGGCGCGUAGGCGGGCAUCCAAGUCUGUGGUGAAAUCCGGCAGCUUAACUGUCGAACUGCCGUGGAUACUGGGUGUCUCGAGGGAGGUAGGGGCGUGCGGAACUAUUGGUGGAGCGGUGAAAUGCGUUGAUAUCAAUAGGAACUCCGGUGGCGAAGGCAGCCCCCUGGGAUAAUAUUGACGCUCAUGCACGAAAGCGUGGGGAGCAAACAGG